rnacentral:rRNA from 1 species
UACAGAGGGUGCAAGCGUUAAUCGGAAUUACUGGGCGUAAAGCGCACGUAGGCGGUUUUUUAAGUCAGAUGUGAAAGCCCCGGGCUCAACCUGGGAAUUGCAUUUGAAACUGGGAAACUAGAGUGUGUGAGAGGGGGGUAGAAUUCCAAGUGUAGCGGUGAAAUGCGUAGAUAUGCGGAGGAACACCAAUGGCGAAGGCGGCCCCCUGGCACAACACUGACGCUCAGGUGCGAAAGCGUGGGGAGCAAACAGG